rnacentral:rRNA from 1 species
UACGGAGGGUGCAAGCGUUAAUCGGAAUUACUGGGCGUAAAGCGUACGUAGGCGGCUUAUUAAGUCGGAUGUGAAAGCCCUGGGCUCAACCUGGGAACUGCAUCCGAUACUGGUAGGCUAGAGUUUGUGAGAGGGUAGUGGAAUUCCUAGUGUAGCGGUGAAAUGCGUAGAUAUUAGGAGGAACAUCAGUGGCGAAGGCGACUGCCUGGCACAUGACUGACGCUGAGGUACGAAAGCGUGGGGAGCAAAC